GACAGAGGGUGCAAACGUUGUUCGGAAUUACUGGGCGUAAAGCGCGUGUAGGCGGCUAAGUAAGUCGGGCGUGAAAUCCCACGGCUCAACCGUGGAAGUGCACUCGAAACUGCAUAGCUAGAGUCCUGGAGAGGAAGGUGGAAUGCUUGGUGUAGAGGUGAAAUUCGUAGAUAUCAAGCGGAACACCGGUGGCGAAGGCGGCCUUCUGGACAGUGACUGACGCUGAG
rnacentral:rRNA from 1 species